rnacentral:rRNA from 1 species
UACGAAGGGGGCUAGCGUUGUUCGGAAUUACUGGGCGUAAAGCGCACGUAGGCGGACAUUUAAGUCAGGGGUGAAAUCCCAGAGCUCAACUCUGGAACUGCCUUUGAUACUGGGUGUCUUGAGCAUGGAAGAGGUGAGUGGAAUUCCGAGUGUAGAGGUGAAAUUCGUAGAUAUUCGGAGGAACACCAGUGGCGAAGGCGGCUCACUGGUCCAUUACUGACGCUGAGGUGCGAAAGCGUGGGGAGCAAACAGG